AUUGAACGCUGGCGGCAGGCCUAACACAUGCAAGUCGAACGGUAACAGGAAACAGCUUGCUGUUUCGCUGACGAGUGGCGGACGGGUGAGUAAUGUCUGGGAAACUGCCUGAUGGAGGGGGAUAACUACUGGAAACGGUAGCUAAUACCGCAUAACGUCGCAAGACCAAAGAGGGGGACCUUCGGGCCUCUUGCCAUCGGAUGUGCCCAGAUGGGAUUAGCUAGUAGGUGGGGUAACGGCUCACCUAGGCGACGAUCCCUAGCUGGUCUGAGAGGAUGACCAGCCACACUGGAACUGAGACACGGUCCAGACUCCUACGGGAGGCAGCAGUGGGGAAUAUUGCACAAUGGGCGCAAGCCUGAUGCAGCCAUGCCGCGUGUAUGAAGAAGGCCUUCGGGUUGUAAAGUACUUUCAGCGGGGAGGAAGGGAGUAAAGUUAAUACCUUUGCUCAUUGACGUUACCCGCGGAAGAAGUACCGGCUAACUCCGUGCCAGCAGCCGCGGUAA
rnacentral:rRNA from 1 species